AUUGAACGCUGGCGGCAUGCUUUACACAUGCAAGUCGAACGGUAACAGGCCUUCGGGUGCUGACGAGUGGCGAACGGGUGCGUAAUGCAUCGGAACGUACCCAGAGGUGGGGGAUAACGCAGCGAAAGCUGUGCUAAUACCGCAUGUGAUCUGAGGAUGAAAGCGGGGGACCGAGCAGCAAUGUUUGGCCUUGCGCCUUUGGAGCGGCCGAUGUCGGAUUAGCUAGUUGGUGGGGUAAAGGCCUACCAAGGCGACGAUCCGUAGCUGGUCUGAGAGGACGACCAGCCACACUGGAACUGAGACACGGCCCAGACUCCUACGGGAGGCAGCAGUGGGGAAUUUUGGACAAUGGGCGCAAGCCUGAUCCAGCAAUGCCGCGUGCGGGAAGAAGGCCUUCGGGUUGUAAACCGCUUUUGGCAGGAACGAAACGGUGUCCGCUAAUACCGGGCUCUAAUGACGGUACCUGCAGAAUAAGCACCGGCUAACUACGUG
rnacentral:rRNA from 1 species